rnacentral:ncRNA from 2 species
UGAUGAUAGUUGGGGUGCCUUCUGGCUGAGAAAUACCCAUUGAACCUGAUCUGAUUAACAUCAGCGGAGGGAACUAUGUGUAAAAAAGA